UAUAGCAGCCAUAUCAUGUUGAAAGCACUGGUUCUUGUCUGAUUACCAAAGUUCAGCCACAUUAAGUCUAGCUAGUACUUGCAUGGGUGACCACUUGGAAAACCUAGGUGCUGUAAGAA
rnacentral:rRNA from 1 species